UUUAGAAUUCCUACGCUUUACCGUGUGAAAGGCUGGCAAAGCGUUUGGAUUCUGAAUC
rnacentral:pre_miRNA from 1 species